rnacentral:misc_RNA from 1 species
AAGUCGUAACAAGGUCUCCGUUGGUGAACCAGCGGAGGGAUCAUUACAAGAGCGCCGAAAGGCUGCUUAAAACCAUCGUGAACCUAUCCAUCAGCGUUGCUUCGGCGGGAGCGCUCGCGGGGCCGGAGUCUCUCCGGGCCCCGGGCCGUGGAACCACACCUCCGGGUGCGGGGCCGCCCGCCGGAGGUACGAAACUCUUCUGCAUCUUAGUGGCAUCUCUGAGUAAACAAGCAAAUAAUCAAAACUUUCAACAACGGAUCUCUUGGUUCUG